AAUAGAUACCCCGGUAGUCCACGCCGUAAACGAUGAGUGCUAAGUGUUAGAGGGUUUCCGCCCUUUAGUGCUGAAGUUAACGCAUUAAGCACUCCGCCUGGGGAGUACGGCCGCAAGGCUGAAACUCAAAGGAAUUGACGGGGGCCCGCACAAGCGGUGGAGCAUGUGGUUUAAUUCGAAGCAACGCGAAGAACCUUACCAGGUCUUGACAUCCUCUGACAACCCUAGAGAUAGGGCUUCUCCUUCGGGAGCAGAGUGACAGGUGGUGCAUGGUUGUCGUCAGCUCGUGUCGUGAGAUGUUGGGUUAAGUCCCGCAACGAGCGCAACCCUUGAUCUUAGUUGCCAUCAUUCAGUUGGGCACUCUAAGGUGACUGCCGGUGACAAACCGGAGGAAGGUGGGGAUGACGUCAAAUCAUCAUGCCCCUUAUGACCUGGGCUACACACGUGCUACAAUGGACGGUACAAAGAGCUGCAAGACCGCAAGGUGGAGCUAAUCUCAUAAAACCGUUCUCAGUUCGGA
rnacentral:rRNA from 1 species